GGGCCCGCACAAGCAGCGGAGCGUGUGGUUUAAUUCGAUGAUACGCGAAGAACCUCACCCAGGUUUGACAUGCAUGUGGUACUGAUGUGAAAGCAAAGGGACCCUUCGGGGAGCAUGCACAGGUGUUGCACGGCCGUCGUCAGCUCGUGCCGUGAGGUGUUGGGUUAAGUCCCGCAACGAGCGCAACCCCUGUCGCCAGUUGUACUUUUCUGGCGAGACUGCCGAGAAAACCUCGGAGGAAGGAGGGGACGAUGUCAGGUCAGCGUGGCCCUUACGCCUGGGGCUACUCACACGCUACAAUGGGCAGUACAACGGGUCGCGAAGCCGCGAGGCGAAGCUAAUCCCAUCAAAGCUGUCCUCAGUUCGGAUUGCAGGCUGAAACCCGCCUGCAUGAAGCCGGAGUUGCUAGUAACCGCAGGUCAGCAUUACUGCGGUGAAUACGUUCCCGGGCCUU
rnacentral:rRNA from 1 species